GAUGAACGCUGGCGGCGUGCCUAAUACAUGCAAGUCGAACGGCGCGGGGGCGGGUGUGUAACACGUGGGUGACCUCCUAUAAGGCUGGGAUAACUUAGGGGAACCGGAGCUAAACCGGCUAAUUAUCGAUGGUUCGGCUAUGCAUUAGCUAGUUGGUAGGGUAACGGCUUACAAAGGCAACGAUCCAUAGCAGACCUGAGAGGGUGACCGGCCACACUGGAACUGAGACACGGUCCAGACUCCUACGGGAGGCAGCAGUAGGGAAUCUUCCGCAAUGGGCGAAAGCCUGACGGAGCAACGCCGCGUGAGUGAAGAAGGUCUUCGGAUUGUAAAACUCUGUCAGUAGGGAAGCGGUACCUAAUCAGAAAGCAACGGCUAACUCCGUGCCAGCAGCCGCGGUAAUUC
rnacentral:rRNA from 1 species